rnacentral:piRNA from 1 species
UAAGUGAAACAUUCCACCACGCGUUGGUC